rnacentral:lncRNA from 1 species
CUGGCAUGGUGCACAUGGAGAGCAGUGGCUGUGACAAUAAGGGAGGUCCAGCUUGCCUUCUCUUUCUCCUUCCCCCUGGGGCGGAUCCAUCUGUCAAGGUGCAGAAGGAGUGUUUGCCCACUUCCCAAUCCAGAACUGGAUUCUGCAUGCAGGACCUCCUGUCUGGAGUUAUGGAUGCCUUCAGUGCCGCUCCAAAAUAUUUACUGCACGCCCCCUGCCCUCCUUCAAACCUACCCCACUCCUAGUCUGGGCGGGGGUCGGGGGGAGCAGGGAGGAGGAGGAAUCAGGGGCAGCUUGUGUGAACAAAGCCGCUGCAGCAGACAGCAGAAUCCUUCCUGCCGGGGAGAAGCGGCUGCCUUCCCCACUGAUAACUUAAUGACUCUGGCACAUUUUCAUCAGCCCAACUUGGAGCACACAGUGGGAAUCUGAGCCAGUGGUUUCCGAGAGACUGAAAGCAGUGACUGAAGGCAAUUACAGGAUGAGCAUCCCAGAGACAAAGCCUGGGCCCUGGGAGUCACCAGCCAGUCACCAGCCACAGCUCAUUCCCGGCUCUGCCCCGUGGCACUGACAUACAACCCUGAGGACACCGCUUCCUUCUCUCUGCAGCUGGACUUCCUCAUCUGUCACCCAGACCCCACCAUGCCUGUCAUCUGCCGAUGCCUCCAAGGCAUCACACCUACCAUCAGGCAGCACCCAUUCCCAUGCAGAAUCUCACAGCUCAGGAGGCAAGGAUCCCCAUUCCACAGAUGAAGAAACUGAGUCUGGGGGAGUUUAAGCAAUUCUCUGGAUGGCACAGCCAGAGUUUGAGCCCUGGUCUGUCUGCCCUUGAAGCACGUGACUGAAAGGUGCGCUGCCCUUCUGAGUGGAAUCCCACAUCCUGCCGGAUACCAUUUGGACACAUAUUCACACCCUACCAGACCGGCUCGUAGAAGUUUGGGGCCACCAACACCUCCCAACGACCCUCCAUCUUCUCUCUGCAGAACCAUCUGGGGGAUGGAGGCAUUCCUACAACCAAUUCCCCCGAGCAGGGAGAAGCCCCAACUGAGAAAAGCCCUGUGUGACUCCCAGAUACAAACUCAGAUCGGGAUAAAGCCCAGGAGGUACUUCCAAAAGCCACCUGCUCAGACUGGGUACGCAGGGUACAGUUGUUCAUCCCACAGCCACUUCAACUGGCCAGGCUUUUCUCAAAAGCCAACGGUGGAUCCAACCCCCAGGUGGGCUUCUCCUCCCUCCCCUGCCCUUGAAGUUCGAGGCCAGCAGACUCGGUGGCCUUCUAGAGACCGGGGGUCUGGCUCUGGGUCUGAUACUAACCCGCUAUGCACCCUUGGACAAAUUCAUACCUUUCUGGGUCUUGAUUUUUCUUAUCUGCAGAAUAUGGGGGUUGGAUCAGAUGAUCUCUAAGUCCUUUGCAUUCUAGCACUUCACAACUCUCUGUAGGUCCUGAAGCUAUUAUCUCCUCAACUGUGAUAGGAAAAUGAUGAGGCUCCCAGAGGCUGGCUACAUCCACCUCCCCCCACCCCACCCUGCACGAUUGGCAGCUGCCGUCCCGUGGCUUCAUACCUUCUUUCAGGCCACCCUUGAUGCUUAUUUUAAGCUGAAUUCCUUUGGAUGGAGACACAGGGGAUUGGGGGUAGGGGUGGGGUAAAACACCCUGAUUUUUCACAGCCACAUUUCUUGGGGCCUGGUGGUGACCCAGGAUCUAUCAAACUCCAGUGACCCAAAAGUCCUGUGUCUUCAUCAAGGGAGAGUGUCCUGCUUAUUUUGGGAAUUUACUAGAUGUGAGGAAGAACAGAGACAAGCAACCAGACUCUCGUUUCAAAAUAUUCUAUCACCUGAUUUCUGGAUCCUCAGCAGGGAAAUGCAGAAACCCCCCAAAACCAAAGCACUCCAUGUGUUAUGGGAAUGUUUCCUGCCCUGCUGAGAAGCCGGGUAACAGAAUGCAGGUGAACUCGGGAGUCUGCCUUCUUGGGUCAGCUGAUUUGCAAUGUGACCUUGGGCAAGUGACUUAGUCUCUCUCAGCCUCGGUUUCCUCGUCUGUAAAACAAGGGCAAUAACAGUUUGUAGCUCAUGGGGGAGGUGUGAGAACUGCAGGAGUUCAUCUUCUUACAAUGCUCAGCCCAGUGCCUGGCACACAGCACAUGUUCAACAAACAUCAGCUAUUUUUGAUCAUUCAUUUAACUUGAUCAGACAACUCCCUUAGAUCCUGCAGCAGCUAGGGCACAGAACACAACUGGGGCCCCAGCUUAGGUGUUAAAUAAGUACCUUUUCUUGAUUCAGUAUAAAGAAAAUAAACAUUUAUUGAAAAUAUCUAUGAACCAAGCAGUGAGCUAAUUGUUUUUACACAAUUUCUCAUUGAACCCUCUUGGAAACCCACUAAGGUUAAUAUUAUUGUCCUCACCUAACAGACCAGAAAACAAAGGCUCAAAGUGGUUUUGUGAUUUGCCUGAGGUCAUGGCUAGGAAGUGACCUGGUAAAGAUUCAAAUCCUAGCUUUCUGACUCCGGAGCCACCUUCUUCCAACUGGCAUCCCUUUCAGGGUGGUGUCUUUGAUUCCUGAUUCUAGUGAGUCCUGCGUUAGCAUGUCCUUAAUGAGCUUAAAUUAAGAGUGAAACUGAAUUCUCUUUUCAAUUGUACAAUAAAAAUAAUUUAAAUAAUAAAUGUCAUUGUCAACAUUUCUGGGGAAGGUAAAAAGAGAAAGGUCAAAAAUCAGACCUGAUUACCCUAAGCUGAGGCAGCCCCCAGGCAUCUGGGAAUCCUGCUAGCAUCCUCUCUCUCAAUAUCUCUGUACACCUCCCAUGCCAGGACAUCAGUGCGGCCUCAAAUGCUGAGCAGGUUUUAUUUGUGAGUUCCAGGCUAUCCAGUGUGAUUCCCCACCCCCUGCCUGAGGUAGGCCUUCU